rnacentral:rRNA from 1 species
AAGCUCUUCAACCUAGCGUUGCUUGCUAAGCAGGCAUGGCACAUUCUACAAUAUCCUGACACCCUUUGUCCCAUGAAGCUGAAAGCUAUUUAUUUCCCCGCUGGUAAUAUUUUGUCAGUAGAAGUUGGGAACCAUCCUUCACAGAUAUGGCGAGCAAUAGUUGAAGGAAGAGAUGUACUACGCCAAGGCUUGAUCCGAAGAGUUGGGGACGGUUCUUCAAUCAAUAUUUGGUCGGACAACUGGAUCCCUAGAGAUGAAAACAUGAGACCGAUUGUGUGCCUCGCGGCGGUCCGCGCCAUCUUGGUUAGUGAGCUCAUAAAUCAUGUUGAUGCCUCGUGGAAUAGGGAGGUAUUACAACAAACUUUUCUCCCCGCCAAUGUGGAUGCAAUCUUCAGCAUACCACUUUGUAUAAGAAAUAAUGAGGAUUUCUGGGCAUGGGAUUUCGAGAAGAAUGGUUUGUUCACAGUGAGGUGGGUGUACCACAUGCUCACCCACACACAGCGCCGACGGGAGGCUUGGCUCGAUGGGUGUGCGAGCUCCUCCAAUUCUGGAGCCGAGGAGAAUGAAUGGAAGCAGCUCUGGCAGGUGGAUGUCCCAGGAAAGCUACGCAAUUUUUUGUGGAGACUGGCAACGCAUUCUAUUCCAACUAAAGACGUCUGGCAUCAUCGACAUAUUUCAUGA